rnacentral:rRNA from 1 species
CGCGUAGGCGGAUCUUUAAGUCAGGGGUGAAAUCCUGGGGCUCAACCUCAGAACUGCCCUUGAUACUGGAGAUCUUGGGUCCGGAAGAGGUUAGUGGAAUUCCCAGUGUAGAGGUGAAAUUCGUAGAUAUUGGGAAGAACACCAGUGGCGAAGGCGGCUAACUGGUCCGGUACUGACGCUGAGGUGCGAAAGCGUGGGGAGCAAACA